rnacentral:rRNA from 1 species
GAGUUUGAUCCUGGCUCAGAAUCAACGCUGGCGGCGUGCCUAACACAUGCAAGUCGCACGAGAAAGUGGAGCAAUCCAUGAGUAAAGUGGCGCACGGGUGAGUAACACGUGAAUAAUCUACCUCCGAGUGGGGAAUAACUUCGGGAAACCGAGGCUAAUACCGCAUAACACUUACGAGUCAAAGCAGCAAUGCGCUUGGAGAGGAGUUCGCGGCAGAUUAGCUAGUUGGUGAGGUAAUGGCUCACCAAGGCGAUGAUCAGUAGCCGGCCUGAGAGGGCGCACGGACACACUGGAACUGAAACACGGUCCAGACUCCUACGGGAGGCAGCAGUGGGGAAUUUUGCGCAAUGGGGGAAACCCUGACGCAGCAACGCCGCGUGGAGGAUGAAAUCCCUUGGGAUGUAAACUCCUUUCGAUCGGGACGAUUAUGACGGUACCGGAAGAAGAAGCCCCGGCUAACUUCGUGCCAGCAGCCGCGGUAAUACGAGGGGGGCGAGCGUUGUUCGGAAUUAUUGGGCGUAAAGGGUGCGUAGGCGGUUUGAUAAGUCUUAUGUGAAAUCUCUGGGCUCAACCCAGAGUCUGCAUAGGAAACUGUCGGGCUUGAGUAUGGGGAGAGGUGAUUGUAAUUUUGGGGUGUUGUUUAUCGGGG